UUAUGCAAAGAACACAAUCACCUUUACGCCCAAGUUUGUCAACGAUAUCCAAAAACGCGGUGGUACAAUCCUUGGGACAUCAAGAGGGGGUCAUGUCAAAUCCAAGAUUGUUGACAGCAUUCAGGAUCGUGGAAUCAAUCAGGUUUAUAUAAUUGGAGGUGACGGGACGCAAAGAGGAGCAGCAGUAAUUUUUUAGGAAAUUAGGCGACGUGGCCUCAAAGUAGCUGUUGCUGGAAUUCC